UUGAUCCAGGUUAGGAGAUACAAAGUUUUAUGGGUAAUUUCUGUCUGGCGACUUUGUGACGUCGCACUCUUUUGACCUUGGAGAUCUGAUGCAUCCU
rfam:Triticum urartu cultivar G1812 contig414969, whole genome shotgun sequence.